UCCAAAUCACGGAAGCGAGCGGCAGAUGAGAGGUUUAGGCAGAAUGAGAUAGGACGCAGGUUUCCUGUCACAACAGCACCGUGAGCAGCCGGAAAGUGUGAGGUGCUCUGUGGAGCUGCAGUGGGACGUGCUAUCCCUGCACCCCCGCCCUGUGCCUGCAGUUGGUAUGAUCCGGCUGUGGAGGAAAUGACAGGGUGUGAGGCCUGUCCUGAGGUGACCUGUCUGGGAGGUGGUUACAUGGCCUAUUGAUGUCCUUAAAUGACUCCGCUGAUGCAGCCCGUUUACGUAUUAUUGUAUUUAUUUCUUGGAUGGCAUAAACUAUGUAGUUACCUAGGUGACAUACACGCCCCUUUUGUGGAUUGGCCGAGGCUUGGUCACAUGAUCCGCCUUUUUCUUCCUGUGGUAUGGGCAGUAGUGUCCUCGUCAGCGCGCCCUAGGUCACGUGGGCGUCGCUUGGGAGGAACACCGCUGACGUCCGUGGAUGAUGGGCGGUUUGUCUGAACGCCGAUUACAUGCGGACACACUGAACCACCAAUGAUCCCUUGAGAAUGGUCUCAAGAAGACCGAAACGUUGGGAUAUAUUAUGGCCUAACAUAUGAUACAUAUGCUUGUACUAUUAUUAUGGCGCAAUUAGUCAUAUAUUGACAAUUUUUUCUGAAUUUUCUGUAAUAAACCUGCAAACCAAAAAGACAUUGGUGUGCCAUGGAUUACCUAUAUAUACUACGACUGAAGUCCUCUGCGAGCACCCACCAUUAUACAAAGGUGUGCGGACUCCACAAUUUUGUUUAAUUGAAGUUUCCCCUGUGGAUCCAGCACCCAGACUAUAUGUCUCAGAAUACUUUCUCAUAUGAUCUUGAAGCUACUAACAAUAUCAUCGCCCAGGUACAACUGGGGAAUGACUUUCUACAAAUUCCCUCACAGGAAUGGAAAACCAGAGAUUAUACACGUGAUCAACGAAGACUGGUUUCACUGCAAUUACAUUGCAGUACUCUCACUGACUACCACAAAAGUGGUCGCAUACCGAGGGGACUACGGUCCCACUUGCGUCCUACACUUUUUCGUGAUGACCCUGAUUUUUGCAAUCGCUUUGAAAGCAUACCGCACAAAUGCUCCUUUGAUUUAAUGCUUUUGACCAUAGAUAAGGCUCAUCAAACUAUUGGCGAAUUAACAAAACAGAUUGAAUCCACAGAGAACCACUUGUCGACAGUAUUACCACAAGAGGAGUGGACAAAUCUAAAGGAGAGAACAACCAAACAAAUUUCUGAGUUCCAGAAGCUGACAGAGAAUAGGAAAAGAACAAAGUUUAUCAGAGACGUGGAAGACUAUCGCUCCAAUCGAGUCUACCGGUGGAGGGAUCCCAACUUUCGCCCACCACGGGACAACCGUCAACAACACUUCUCUGCAAGUUCCUCUGGAUCCGAAAGCGAUCGAUCCUACAAUCAAUACAACUCCCAACCUUUUUUAGGACGAGGACGGACACGCCAACGUUACAACCGAAACGGACGCGGAGGGGCAAAAAACACAGAUACCGACAACAGAAUACAGACUCGCUCUCAGGCUCCCUAGUUGGAUUAUAAUCAUAGUCAAUAUACAAGUUGAUCCCUUGAGAAAGGUCUCAAGAAGACCGAAACGUUGGGAUAUAUUAUGGCCUAACAUAUGAUACAUAUGCUUGUACUAUUAUUAUGGCGCAAUUAGUCAUAUAUUGACAAUUUUUUCUGAAUUUUCUGUAAUAAAC